rnacentral:rRNA from 1 species
ACGCUGGCGGCAGGCCUAACACAUGCAAGUCGAGCGGUAGAGAGAAGCUUGCUUCUCUUGAGAGCGGCGGACGGGUGAGUAUGCCUAGGAAUCUGCCUGGUAGUGGGGGAUAACGUUCGGAAACGGACGCUAAUACCGCAUACGUCCUACGGGAGAAAGCAGGGGACCUUCGGGCCCUUGCGCUAUCAGAUGAGCCUAGGUCGGAUUAGCUAGUUGGUGGGGUAAUGGCUCACCAAGGCGACGAUCCGUAACUGGUCUGAGAGGAUGAUCAGUCACACUGGAACUGAGACACGGUCCAGACUCCUACGGGAGGCAGCAGUGGGGAAUAUUGGACAAUGGGCGAAAGCCUGAUCCAGCCAUGCCGCGUGUGUGAAGAAGGUCUUCGGAUUGUAAAGCACUUUAAGUUGGGAGGAAGGCCAGUAAAUUAAUACUUUGCUGUUUUGACGUUACCGACAGAAUAAGCACCGGCUAACUCUGUGCCAGCAGCCGCGGUAAUACAGAGGGUGCAAGCGUUAAUCGGAAUUACUGGGCGUAAAGCGCGCGUAGGUGGUUCGUUAAGUUGGAUGUGAAAUCCCCGGGCUCAACCUGGGAACUGCAUUCAAAACUGACGAGCUAGAGUAUGGUAGAGGGUGGUGGAAUUUCCUGUGUAGCGGUGAAAUGCGUAGAUAUAGGAAGGAACACCAGUGGCGAAGGCGACCACCUGGACUGAUACUGACACUGAGGUGCGAAAGCGUGGGGAGCAAAC